AGGCAGCAGUGGGGAAUCUUGCGCAAUGGGCGAAAGCCUGACGCAGCCAUGCCGCGUGAAUGAUGAAGGUCUUAGGAUUGUAAAAUUCUUUCACCGGGGACGAUAAUGACGGUACCCGGAGAAGAAGCCCCGGCUAACUUCGUGCCAGCAGCCGCGGUAAUACGAAGGGGGCUAGCGUUGCUCGGAAUUACUGGGCGUAAAGGGAGCGUAGGCGGACAUUUAAGUCAGGGGUGAAAUCCCGGGGCUCAACCUCGGAAUUGCCUUUGAUACUGGGUGUCUUGAGUAUGAGAGAGGUAUGUGGAACUCCGAGUGUAGAGGUGAAAUUCGUAGAUAUUCGGAAGAACACCAGUGGCGAAGGCGACAUACUGGCUCAUUACUGACGCUGAGGCUCGAAAGCGUGGGGAGCAAACAGGAUUAGAUACCCUGGUAGUCCACGCCGUAAACGAUGAUUGCUAGUUGUCGAGAUGCAUGCAUUUCGGUGACGCAGCUAACGCAUUAAGCAAUCCGCCUGGGGAGUACGGUCGCAAGAUUAAAACUCAAAUGAAUUGACGG
rnacentral:rRNA from 1 species